AAACCAAUCUGUAUUCAUAAAAAGCCCCAUUUAUUUCAAAGUCAUUUCAUCAACAAAUAGUACAAAUCUGCAUUGUUUGGGGGUAGACCCACACCAGAAACACAUGAAUAAAACAUUUAUUACAAUAAUUGCUCAGCGUCCGUUUCACACACACUGAAAGUCAUACCGUUCGACUCAUUUAGCUGGAGAACAAAUAAGGAACGUCUAGCGUACAUAAACAAUAAAUGAGUUAGUUAGACCAGUCCCGCUCUACAGGAUUACUGUGUAGAGUUAAAUCCAAUGUGGCUUUAGGAUAAUCCCAUCAGAACUGCAACAGUGCAAUGCUACUACAGAACACCCAAGCCUGUUAGCACUGAUGAGAGCCUAGUGAAGGAGAGGAGGAAAUAUGACAGAAGAGUGGAGCAAAAAAAAAAAAAAAAGAAAAAAAUACUUAACACACUGACUCCUAUUGUACAAGACGAACACUUUAACAGCCUGCUGCCAAUAAAGCUCUAUGUCUUGUGAUACUAGUUUGCAUUUUCUAACAACAACUGGUUGUAAACUAGAAACACAGAGAAUAAAAAAAGAUUAAAAUAUAAAAACACUAAGUCAUUUUUGCAUUGUGGAAAAUACUUUACCUGGAGUUCAUUGUCAUAUAAAGCUUUGAAUCCAUUGGAAAAAUAUCUCUCUAAGAAACUAAUACAAGCCUGAGUUACUCACAGUAAUUGUUAUGCAUGUCUGUAAGAUAAUACUUCGUUAAUAUGCACCUCAGCAGCCGCUUUUAAUUAGUGAAGACAUGUUUUGAUAACUUCCAUUCGCACAGAUAGCUUCUAAUAUUCUCCUGAUUCAUGGAAAAACAAGUGCUGACAAAAUAAACCCCCCCAAUUAGGCCUAAGGUACG